CACACACACACACACACACACACACAACCAACACUGCUCUCAGUAACUUUUUUGGUGUUUAUGUGCUAAUUUAUUCCCCUGGCUUUCUGACAAGGAGAUAAUUACAGAAAAAGGAAAAAGCCACUGUCGUAUUAUCACACUUUAGAAACUGAAUCAAGUUCUGAAUAAUUUUCCUAUUACCAGCUUAAUAUCAAAUACAGGAUAAAAAUACUUCUUACAAAUGUAUAAUUAUUUUAGUCUCAUUUUCUUACACCAAGAAAAGUAGUGAGAAACAAGCUGAGGAGAGUUUAAAGAAAUAACACAGUAUUUGAAAUGUGUUUAAAGUUGGGGAAAGCGAUGGACUCAAGUUUCGUUAGGGUUGAGCUUACACUAGCACAUUAGAGUUAUGCUUGGGCUGUGCUAGGGUUAGUUAGGGUUAUACUAGUUACACUAGGGCUGUGCUAGGGUUACACUAGGGCUGUGCUAGGGUUACACUAGGGCUGUGCUAGGGUUACACUAGGGCUACACUAACUAACUUCCUGGUUCCUGAGUUGUUUGUAGUGAGUCGUUUUUCCACAAGUGUUGGCGUUAAUUACAAAUUUUUUUUUUCUACAAAUAAUUUUCCAGUAUCCUCUUCGUUUUUUAUUGUACCUUUCACUUUUCUUUUUCCAUUUUUUCCAUUUUUUUUCGGAAGAACGCCAAGACCGGAAGCUUUUUUUUUUUUUCCUCCUCCUGCGAAAAACCAUAAGCAGAGGUCAUCUGCAUCAGAUGUGCUUUAAUAUCAACAGAUCUUCAAUUAAGACCUGCCUGAUCCAUCCUGGUGCCCUGUGUCUGGCUGGAGUCUCAUCACAUCACUCCUGUGGAGGACGACCCCAUGAGGACAGUUGAAAGUCACACCUGGAGGACGCUCUGGACUCUUACAGUAAUGCUUUUAUGGUUGAGGACUACAGUUGACUUGCUAACUUUAGGACUGCAGUUGUCAUGAACAGUUUUGCACUCAAGUUUCCAACAUCAGUGAAACUGACUUCAUGUUAAAACUGUUAGUCAUGUUGUCUGUUGUUGCCCAAAUGAGGAUGGGUUCCCUUUAGAGUCUGGUUCCUCUCGAGGUUUCUUCGUUGUGUCAUCUGAGGGAGUUUUUUCUUGCCACCGUCGCCACGGUCUUGCUCAUUGGGGAUAGAUUGGGACAAAAUUAGCUCAUGUUUUAAGUCGUUCAAAUUCUGUAAAGCUGCUUUGCGACAAAUGUUUAUUAUUAAAAGCGCUAUACGAAUGACUUAACUUGACUAGCCCUAGUGUCUAGGGUUAUUUAGGGUUACACUAUGUUGCUGAAUUUCAGAGUGACAGAAGGUCCCUGUGAUGCUGCACACAAUAAGUCAGACAUUGGGUGAAUCACCUAUUAAAUUUAUUAAAACAGCUUGAUUUCAUGCAUCAGCGACUUGAGAUCCUGAAAUCUUUUUACAGUUUUAUUACUCAACUUAUGGACAAUGUUGUGCGUAACAGGACUCGACUAAUGGGAGGUCACUGAUGGUGCAUUCACAAACUACUAGAACACAGUCAACAUCAGGAGUGUGAGAAACAGAACAGACGUGACGGCCAUCUUGGGAUCAGCCACUCCACCUGAGACUGAGAGAAGUCAAAGGUCACAGACACACAGGAUUUUAAACCAGCUCUUCAGAGACUCUUCAUGACAAGUGCUUAUGAAAAUAGCAGGAUGUCAUUAUUUAACUGCAAAAUUAAAGCUAUUUCCUGAGCACGAAGACAGACACGCAUCACAAACUAACUGACUGAGGAAUGAACUAAAGUGCUAAUGUGCAAAACAUCCUAUUAAUGCAUUCAUUCUGUCAUCGUAUUUAUAGUAACAGCAAAGACGCAGCGAACACACCACAUAAAUGGACAUAAAAAAUGUCAUCACUGAUAUGGCGACAUUUCUGCAAGGAGAUUUAACAUUUUUCUGUAUUUAACAUGGAAGGAGUCCCCAGGGUUAGUUUUCAGUUAUCUUCAUGACAAAGUUAUGCAUCCUUUUUUUUUAGUUUUAGUUCUUCAGUAACGUGACACAUUGCGCUUUUUUUUUUGUCUUAUUAAUUCAAAGAGAGGAAAAAGGAGUCUGGUGAAAGAAUAACUCUUUAUAGCUGCUGUAACACAAGCUCACUCACAUCAACAUCCGAAAGUGCUCAGAUCUCAGCAUGGGAGUGUGACAAGACAAAAAGUAAGUACACCCCAGUGAAUUUGGUGAAAAUUUUGACAUUUUCAAAUUUUUCACCCAAAAAAGGUAAUGUUUUAGGCUUUUUUUUUUGGGGGGGGUGUUAGGUGAAGAAGAAGGGAAAAAAAAAUCGACAUUCUCCGAUUUUGCACCAAAUUCACACAGCAUAUUAGGAAGGCCUAAACGAACCCUACAGUGCACUUAGUUUCGUCCUGUCAUGCUCCUGAGCUGAGAUCCAAGCCUCCAGUUUUCAACAUACUACACUUAAACAAUGCUCGAGAUCAUUGUAUAUCGAUCAAAAUAUAAAAUAAAUGUUACUCUGUAAAAUUAAAGUCCUUGAUUGUAAAAUGCAUUAACUUACACUCUAGAAAUUUCCUAAUUAAAUUAAAGUGUAACAUUUAUCAUUGUGAUUAAACCUCACCUCCAGUCAGUGUUGAAGAUUUGAGCUUUACCCAAAAUGUGGUUCUGUUUGAGACUACAGUGGCCCUGAAGGAGAAAAAUCACAAGAAUUAAAUAAAAUACUUUUAAAAAA